rnacentral:rRNA from 1 species
CUGGCGGCGUGCCUAAUACAUGCAAGUCGAACGGUCUUUCUAUGGAAGCUUGCUUCCACUGAGAAGAUAGUGGCGAACGGGUGAGUAACACGUGGGUAACCUGCCCAUAAGAGGGGGAGUAACAUCCGGAAACGGGUGCUAAUACCGCAUAGUUUUCUUGAUCGCAUGAUUGAGAAAGGAAAGACGGCCUUUGUGCUGUCGCUUAUGGAUGGACCCGCGGCGUAUUAGUUAGUUGGUGAGGUAACGGCUCACCAAGACGAUGAUACGUAGCCGACCUGAGAGGGUGAUCGGCCACAUUGGGACUGAGACACGGCCCAAACUCCUACGGGAGGCAGCAGUAGGGAAUCUUCCGCAAUGGACGAAAGUCUGACGGAGCAACGCCGCGUGAGUGAAGAAGGUUUUUCCGGAUCGUAAAACUCUGUUGUCAGAGAAGAACAAGUUGGAGAGUAACUGCUCCAGCCUUGACGGUAUCUGACCAGAAAGCCACGGCUAACUACGUGCCAGCAGCAGC